rnacentral:rRNA from 1 species
GUGGGGAAUCUUAGACAAUGGGGGAAACCCUGAUCUAGCCAUGCCGCGUGAGCGAUGAAGGCCUUAGGGUUGUAAAGCUCUUUCAGCUGGGAAGAUAAUGACGGUACCAGCAGAAGAAGCCCCGGCUAACUCCGUGCCAGCAGCCGCGGUAAUACGGCGGGGGCUAGCGUUGUUCGGAAUUACUGGGCGUAAAGCGCACGUAGGCGGAUCAGAAAGUCAGAGGUGAAAUCCCAGGGCUCAACCUUGGAACUGCCUUUGAAACUCCUGGUCUUGAGGUCGAGGGAGGUGAGGUGAAUUCCGAGUGUAGAGGUGAAAUUCGUAGAUAUUCGGAGGAACACCAGUGGCGAAGGCGGCUCACUGGCUCGAUACUGACGCUGAGGUGCGAAAGCGUGGGGAGCAAACAGGAUUAGAUACCCGAGUAGUCC